rnacentral:rRNA from 1 species
UACGGGGGGGGUAAGCGUUGUUCGGAAUUACUGGGCGUAAAGGGCUCGUAGGCGGCCAACUAAGUCAGACGUGAAAUCCCUCAGCUUAACUGGGGAACUGCGUCUGAUACUGGAUGGCUUGGAUUCGGGAGAGGGAUGCGGAAUUCCAGGUGUAGCGGUGAAAUGCGCAGAUAUCAGGAGGAACACCGGUGGCGAAGGCGGGUCUCUGGGCAGUAACUGACGCUGAGGAGCGAAAGCGUGGGGAGCGAACAGG